GUGCUCACUUCGGCGGCAAGUAUACUAAAACUGGAAUGAUACAGAGAUUACGUGGUCCCUGUACAAGGAUGACAUGCAAAUUUGUGAAGCGUUUCAUUAAAAA
rnacentral:snRNA from 1 species